UGGGGAAUAUUGCGCAAUGGGGGGGACCCUGACGCAGCCAUGCCGCGUGAAUGAAGAAGGCCUUAGGGUUGUAAAGUUCUUUCGGUAUUGAGGAAGGUUGAUGUGUUAAUAGCACAUCAAAUUGACGUUAAAUACAGAAGAAGCACCGGCUAACUCCGUGCCAGCAGCCGCGGUAAUACGGAGGGUGCGAGCGUUAAUCGGGAUAACUGGGCGUAAAGGGCACGCAGGCGGUUAUUUAAGUGAGGUGUGAAAGCCCCGGGCUUAACCUGGGAAUUGCAUUUCAGACUGGGUAACUAGAGUACUUUAGGGAGGGGUAGAAUUCCACGUGUAGCGGUGAAAUGCGUAGAGAUGUGGAGGAAUACCGAAGGCGAAGGCAGCCCCUUGGGAAUGUACUGACGCUCAUGUGCGAAAGCGUGGGGAGCAAACAGGAUUAGAUACCCUGGUAGUCCACGCUGUAAACGCUGUCGAUUUGGGGGUUGGGGUUUAACUCUGGCGCCCGUAGCUAACGUGAUAAAUCGACCGCCUGGGGAGUACGGCCGCAAGGUUA
rnacentral:rRNA from 1 species